AAUACCUAAUAAAAAAUGGAAAAAAAAAAAGAAAAAUCAAUCUAUUAAAGGAAAUGCAAGUGCCUUGUUAAAAAAAAAAAAAAAAAAAAGAAAGUUUCAAUGAUUUUUCAGUUUGGACACAUGACACAUGCUGAGUCAUUUCGUACUUCCUAAUACUCAGACUUCUAUGUACAUCUGAGGGGCUUUUCCAAUAACUAUAGAAUAAUUCUUUUCAUCAGAGUUUGAAAAAUUUUACUUUUAAAACUGAAACACAAAGGAGAAAUGUGUUAGAAACAUUAAAAAACAAAAACAAAAACAAAACAAAAACAAAAAAACAACUGUGGGCUGGCUCUUUUCAUCAGGAGCAAUGGAGAAAGAAGGCCUUCCCAUAUAGAACUACUGUCUAGUCUCCUGUAAAAGGCAUCUCUGUGCUCCUAGCCCGGCCACAAUCAAGCCUGCCACUGCUAUCAAGCCAAGAACUAUCCCAGCGGGACCAGCUGGAAUACCCCCCCAACUCUCCCUUUAACCUCCCCCCAGACCCAAGGCCAGGUCCACCCCGCAGACCACCACUGUGUUCCCGGCUCUACUGCAGCAACCAGCAGUGCCUAGGCAUCGAGAGCCUGAGAACCAGACAGCCCUGGCCUUCUUGCAAACCUGGGGAGACUGAGCCACUUUCUGCUGUCCUGCACUUCAGACUGUACUUCCCCACCCCUGAGGGGUGUCCUACGGCUUCCCCACAGCCCAGCACCUGCCCAGCAGAGUGGGUAAGCAUGGCUAAACUUCCCAAGUCCUGCCUCUGUGGUGGAGCAGAUGCAGGACCCCAGUAUAACCCUAGACACACCAAGAAUGUUGUCCCCACAAGUGAUCUAUGGAAUUGUGUGCUGGUGUUACACUGAGGGAGUGAAAAGUCAGGCAGCCCCAUGGGGAUCCAGAGCCCGUCCCUAAGACCCUGUUUGAGUAAACUUGGGAAAUGAACAACCAACUUGCUCACUGCUGAAAUGGUAACACACAAUUAUCACCUGUUCUUGAAGAGCAGCCAUUAUGAAGACCAAUGGCCUCAUCUUCAAAAUUACCCCCUUUAAGAUAAAAACAAAGCACACACAUUCUCCUGUGCCCAGCAUAAGGAGACAGUGGUGCUAUUGCUGCACCUUCUCAGACUGGACAGAUUUAAUUUCAUUUUUGAUUUCACAUCCUGUUUUCCUUUAAAGGUUUUCUAGAAGUGACAGGCCAGUCUUCAGUGUCAACAGAAAGGCCAUUAAGAGGACCUGAAUGGAGGUACGACUCUUGAAGGGCAGCCCGAGUUGGGGGGUAUUGAUCAAAAGGACCAGAUUUGACUCUGUCCAACAGAGAUUUGCUGAGUGCCAGGCAGCAGACACUGCAGCCUUCUUAGAUGCUGAGCUACAGUCUCUGUCCUCCAAGGUGCUGCCAAGGCCAGGAGGGGUGAGGUGAGUAGAAAGGCCAGGAUGGAGGGUAGAUGGAAGGGAAGCUUGCUGGUGAAGUACUGCCACAAUGUAUUUUAGCAUACCAUGGCCUAUGAGUGUUUACAGGUAGAUCUGGAUGGCCAGCAGGCUGGUUUGCUUGGAUGGCUUUUUGUCACACUAAUGGUCUUGUUGGGCUUGCCUCCUUAGUUUGUAGAGCCUGUGCCAUUUUGGUUCCUCACGUGGUGAUUCUGAGGGGAAAGGGGUCACUCCAGCUGCUCAGGUAUUCCUCCAACCUCUGCUUGUAUCUCUUCUGCAACAGCCACUGACCACUGGCUAGAGCACGUAACACAGCUGGAGCCAAAGUCAGGGAUAGAAAAGGGCAGAGGAGGGUGGGCAGUUAGGGAGAGAAGCAGAUGGAAGGAGGGUGGGGGACUAGGAGUAGAAGGGAAUGGAGGAAUGCUACAGAAUCAUGGAUGGAAGACAGAGGUGAGGAACUGAGCCCGUUGCUCAAUCUGCAUGAAAAGGCCAGGCCAUGGGCAGGAGUAUGAGAGCCAGAAACUACAGGAAACAUUGAGGGCUGAGCUAGGAAACAGCUGAGAUGUGGUCCAGAGAGCUGUUUGCCACAUAGAAUAGUGGAUGCACAAGGUCUGAGACAUGGGACGAUGUCAAGUACUUGAGUUAAUGACUAUGGAAAGUCCUUGAAAAAAAUAAGGGCUUAUUUUGAUUAACUCCACACUUCCUGACCCUGUCCUGGCUCAGGCCCUGCUCUCUUAAGUCACAUUCACUGAAAUUAGACAAAAUUCUAUGAGAGAGACUAGACAGAAGGUCCCAUGAGAAAAGUGGUUGGGCCAUAUGUGAACCCUUCAAAGUAUGAAGAGUGGCCCAACUGAACCACUUCUCAAUACUCAAUCCUGUGACCCACAAGUAUGAUAUAUGCAAAGUCUUGACUGAGUUUCCUGAGAACUAAAACCAGUAGUAGGUCACACCCCCCCACAAAAUCAUGUUUCCAAACUCAGUCACUUGUGUAUUAUGGUGUGUGUAUAUUAUGGUGUUUGUGUGUAUGUGUGUAUGUGAGCAUGUAUAUGUGUGAUCAUGUACAUGUGUGUGCAUGUAUGCGUACACAUGAGUGAACAUCUGUGUGUGUGCAUAUGUGGUGUGUGUGUGUGAACAUGUGUGUGAAAAUUUGUGUGUGUGAGUGUAUGUGGUGUGUGUGUGUGUGUGUAUACAGGCUUCUGGAAGCCAGAGACCAUCAUCAGGUGUGUCUCUCAAUCACUCUAUGCCUUAUUUUUUGAGACAAGGUCCUUCACAGUACCUACCCAGCGAGCCAGGGAUCCUCCUAUCUCUGCCUGCCCAACAACAGGAUAUGGAUGCACACGCAUCUAUAAAUAUGCUUCGGUGCCCAGGUUUGUACAUGAGUUUUGAGGACCUGACAUAGACUACUCACGUCCUCAGGACUUCAAUCUUUUUAUCUUAUUUAUAUAUUUACUUAUUUACUAUUUAUUUUGUUUACUGUUUUGAGGCAGGGUCUCAAUCUUAAAGCCAAGCAUAUCCUAUUACAUAGCUGAAGAUGGCCUCCAACUCUCAGUCUCCACAGUGCCAGAAUAGAGGCAUGAGCCACUUAGUUAGAAACUGGACUACCAAGAUUCUGGACCUAAGCCAGCUUCUUUUCAUUACAAUGGUUAGAUUUUUUAAAAACCUAUUUGCUACAUAUGGUGGAUGGCUAUCACCAGUACAAAGAAGCAAGCUAUUGAUGUACGCAGUAAUGUAAAUGAAUCUUCUAAACAAAGCAAGUGACUCUAACUUCAUUCUUCACAGGUGGAACAGUAUCCAGUUUUUCCAGUGCUGUUUACUAAAUACUAUCCAGUUUAUUUUCGACAUCUUGGCCAUAGAUUGUGAAGGUUUUCUCUAGGUCCUCUGUUCUGCUCUAUUGUUUUACAUGUCUGUUUUCAGGCCUGCACUACACUGUCUCUGUCUCUACAGCACUGUAAGAUAACUUGAACCUAGAUAUUAUGAUACAUACCUCUAGUGAUUUUCUUUCCUCUAAGGAUUAAGUUAGCAAUUUAGGGUCUUUUCUGUUUCCAUAUGAAUCUUGGAUUGAUUUUUUUUUUCUAGCUGUGUAAAGAACCUCACUGGUAUCUUGGUGGGGAUUGCACUGAAUCUGUGGACUCCACAAUGAUAAUUCUUAUAAUCUUGGAAACUGGACACACCUGAUGAUGGUCCAUGAUCUGACUUCAUCUUUAACUUCUUUUUCAGUGUGGAAGUUUUCAGUGUAAAAAGAUCUUUGCUUCUGUGUUGAGUUCAGUUCUGGCAUCUUUAUUUACUUACUUAUUCUUGGAGCUAUUAUGGGUAGGGUAUGCUUCCUCAUCAUUCCUACUCAACAAAUUCAUUAUUGGUGUAUAUAAAAUGGAUAGACAGUUAUUAAAAUAAGAAACACAAAUGAUA